rnacentral:lncRNA from 1 species
AGCUUGCAGGGAUGUGUGCGUUGGCUGGAGGGGAUGUCUGGAGGAGCUGGGAAGUAACCAGAUGACUGACAGCGAUUCAGGCUCGAUGCCUUAUGGAGGGGACAGGCGAACAGACCUGCUCCUUCCUUUGUGUUGCCAGUCAGGUCCUCCCUCUGCAGUCUUACACAGGAAGAAGAUUUAUAACAGCUGCAUGCAAUGCCAGUGUCUCAAAGAAACAGUAUCACGCCAUGUGGAGGAUUUUUGUUUGGGGUUUGUUUUCUCCACUGAAUUGGAAAGGCUCUUGGUGGCCUGCUUCUUACCUCCCUGACUAGUGGCAUGUAUUAAAUCAAUGGAGUGUGUUUCUGGGCCCCCAUAACCCUACUGGUCACCUCCUCCUCCUCUUCCACACCUGGCCCCCAUAACCCUACUGGUCACCUCCUCCUCCUCUUCCACACCUUUGUGGUGAAUGAUGAAGAAAGGACGCAGCUUUUCAAUACCAAGGAAGAAAUGGAGCAAUAACUGGAGGACCAUAAUCUACUUAUUGCUGCUUGCAGUGGAUGUCAGAGUCAAAUGGCUCAGAUAAGCAGCUACUACAGGACCAUGAAAAAGUGCCACUUAUUUUACUGCUUCUCAAAAAUUUAAAUUACAGAAUCUGUAAAUUUCCAAUGGAUUGAACCAACUUCCUUUUAAUUUUUAAAAUUUUAGAGUAUUUGUUUUUAUCGUGUCCUGUCUUUGCCUGAGACAAAGUUAAUUUAUUUUCUGUUUCUGGUAGAGUGCUGAGAUUUGGAUUCAGUGUGAGAAUAAUGUUGAUAACACACUGAUGUUUUGGUUGUUCCUAAGAAGUGCCUAUCCUAAGUCAAGGACAUUUUUGUGCCUCAUGCUCAGACAGUGAAGAAGAGCACAAAAAACCUGGGAGGGAGCAUAGCUGGGACAGGUGAGCUGAGCUGCCCAAAGGGGUAUUCCACAACACAGAACAGCAUGCUCAGUAUAAAAACUGGGGAAAUUACCUGGGAGGGGGGCUGAUUGGGUGUCAGCGAUAUGGGUCUGGCAUCAGCCAGCAGAUGGUGAGCAAUUGUAUUGUGCAUCACUGUUUUUACUUUUAUAUUAUUAUUGUUGUUUUUAUUAUUUACUAUUAUUAUUGUUAUAUUUUACUUUU